GACGAACGCUGGCGGCGUGCCUAAUACAUGCAAGUUGAGCGAUGAAGCUUGGUGCUUGCUCCACUUUGAAGAGCAGCGAACGGGUGAGUAACGCGUGGGUAAUCUGCCUUUGAGCGGGGGACAACAUUUGGAAACGAAUGCUAAUACCGCAUAACAACUUUAAACAUAAGUUUUAAGUUUGAAAGAUGCAAUUGCAUCACUCAAAGAUGAUCCCGCGUUGUAUUAGCUAGUUGGUGAGGUAAAGGCUCAACAAAGCGAAGAUACAUAGCCGACCUGAGAGGGUGAUCGGCCACAUUGGGACUUAGACACGGCCCAAACUCCUUCGGGAGGCAGCAGUAGGGAAUCUUCGGCAAUGGACGAAAGGCUGACCGGGCAACGCCGCGUGGGUGAAGAAGGGUUUCGGAUCGUAAAACUCUGUUUGUAGAGAAGAAAGUAGGUUAGAGUGGAAAGCUCAUCAAGUGACGGUAACUACCCAGAAAGCGACGGCUAACUACGUG
rnacentral:rRNA from 1 species